GACGAACGCUGGCGGCGUGCUUAACACAUGCAAGUCGAACGGAAAGGCCCUGCUUUUGUGGGGUGCUCGAGUGGCGAAAGGGUGAGUAACACGUGAGUAACCUGCCCUUGACUUUGGGAUAACUUCAGGAAACUGGGGCUAAUACCGGAUAGGAGCUCCUGCUGCAUGGUGGGGGUUGGAAAGUUUCGGCGGUUGGGGAUGGACUCGCGGCUUAUCAGCUUGUUGGUGGGGUAGUGGCUUACCAAGGCUUUGACGGGUAGCCGGCCUGAGAGGGUGACCGGCCACAUUGGGACUGAGAUACGGCCCAGACUCCUACGGGAGGCAGCAGUGGGGAAUAGUGCACAAUGGGCGGAAGCCUGAUGCAGCAACGCCGCGUGCGGGAUGACGGCCUUCGGGUUGUAAACCGCGUUCGCCUGUGACGAAGCGUGAGUGACGGUAAUGGGUAAAGAAGCACCGGCUAACUACGUG
rnacentral:rRNA from 1 species